rnacentral:lncRNA from 1 species
AAAAAAGCAGUGGGUUUAUAGAGAACUCCUUGCUACUGGGCUCAGCUUUUGUACAUGGAUUUUCAGAAUGGAAAUUCCAGUCUUAAUGCUAUGACAAGUACAUUACUGACUGAGCCAUUUCAUCACCUCUGAAAAAAAUAAACAACAUUUUUAUAAUUGGUAAAUGUUUUUCAAAUCUAUUUCUCUUUUUAACUGCAUUGAAAGGUUCAGAAGAGUCUAUCAUUUUAUAAUGUCCUUCUAAUCACCAUUAGCUGAGUAACUUUAUGAGGGAGGAUAGGAGAAGGAUAAUGAAAAGAACUAAGAGAGUUUUCCUUGUUUGGUUAGGCAAACAGUUUGGUUAUACUUUCAUGGGUAAUAGAAAAAGAUGACCUUUUAUUCCCAUUUUUUAUUAGGUAUUUAGCUCAUUUAUAUUUCCAAUGCUAUACCAAAAGUACCCCAUACUCACCCACCCCACUACCCUACCCACCCACUCCCCCUUUUUGGCCCUGGCGUUCCCCUAUACUGGGGCAUAUAAAGUUUGCGUGUCCAAUGGGCCUCUCUUUCCAGUGAUGGCCGACUAGGCCAUCUUUUGAUACAUAUGCAGUUAGAGUCAAGAGCUCCAGGGUACUGGUUAGUUCAUAAUGUUGUUCCACCUAUAGGGUUGCAGAUCCCUUUAGCUCCUUGGCUACUUUCUCUAGCUCCUCCACUGGGAGCCCUGUGAUCCAUCCAUUAGCUGACUGUGAGCAUCCACUUCUGUGUUUGCUAGGCCCUGGCAUAGUCUCACAAGAGACAGCUACAUCUGGGUCCUUUUGAUAAAAUCUUGCUAGUGUAUGCAAUGGUGUCAGCGUUUGGAUGCUGAUUAUGGGGUGGAUCCCUGGAUAUGGCAGUCUCUAGUCUUCAGUGAUUAUGUAAUGUCAGCCCGGUGGUGGUGGCUUUAAUCCUUUAAUCCUAGCACUUGGGAGGCAGAGGCAGGCGAAUUUCUGAGUUCAAGGCCAGCCUAGUCUACAGAGUGAGUUCUAGGACAGCCAGGGCUACACAGAGAAACCCUGUCUCGGAAAAAAAAAAGUGUAAUGUCAUACCUACGCAAACUAUUGGCUAGAGAAUUUCAUCCUGUCUACUCUCAUAAUCAUUUUGAAUUUUUUUCAUGUUGCGUACUAGAUAAUGGGCUUCAUUACAUUUUUAUAUGUAUAUACCAUUAUACUUUUCUUAUAUUCACUCUCAAACAAUCCUCCCUUUCCUCUCUUUCCUGCUUUUCACUGGUCCACUUCCUCCACUUCCAAAGUGUCCCCUUUGUAUAUGUGCAAGUGCAUAUAUAAAUAUAAUUGCAUAUACACAAUAUAAUAUAUUGAUUUAAAUCUACAUUGUGUAAAUGAUAGAAAAUAAGAUAUUUGACCUCUCCUAUCUCAGUCCUUAUGCUGUUUCUCCCCUUCCCCUUUCCCUCUUUUCUCAGUGGAAACUUUUUAACUAAUAGUAUUACAUUCUAUAACCCAUUGGUUCUCAAUUUCAGUGACUUUGUCCCAGAAGACAUCAGGCACUACCUAGAAAACUUUUGAUUGUUAGGGUUUGUUCUGCUAAAUUGAAUAUUUUCAUGGUGGAGCUCAAUGGUGUUUGUAAAUUCCUCAACACACAGGACAUUUUCACAUUAAGCAUUAUUGUGCAAUAAUUAUCCAGUGUGGAAUUUCCAGUGUUCGGAUUAAGAAAUCCUGCACCUGUGUUAGAUUUCUUAGUUUUCCUGGUAAUUGUGUAGUGUUUCCAAAUUAUCCCUCUUUCCUUUACAAAUAGCUGAGAAGGCUGGAAGUUCACAUGUCUCCAAGAACAUAGUCGGAAGAUUUCUAUCUGGGUCUUUGGGUCUUAUAGUUGGCUACACUUCUCCACUUCCUACACUUCUCCGCUUCCUGCACUUCUCCACUUCCUACACUUCUCCUCUUCCUACACUUCUCCACUUCCUACACUUCUCCACUUCCUGCACUUCUCCACUUCCUACACUUCUCUGCUUCCUACACUUCUCCACUUCCUACAGUUCUCUACUUCCCUUCUCAACUGUGCUCUUUCUUUAGCAUUUAUAUUAAUGGUUAACUAUCACCUACAGCACCAUUGUGAAUUCUUAAACAUGAUAAAGCAAAAAAUUCCCCUCUAGUCGAAAAUGUCAUACUAGUGUUGUUACCCAUAUGGAGUUGCAGCCACAUCCUUUAUUCAGUUUAGUAAAAGGACCCGAGAUGGUAGACUGUCUAUAUGUCUGUUUAGCUGUCCUGCAGUGUUCACAUAGUAGGUGAGAACUAUAUUGUUUCUUUAAAUGUGAGAUUAUUAUUAUUGUUGUGCUUAGAUUAUACUCUAGAAUAUGGACGGGCCACUGGCAAUCCGUUAAAAGCUUUCACAGAAGAGAGGGAAACCUCC